rnacentral:piRNA from 1 species
UCACUGCACUCUUCGUUGUCGUGGUCGC